rfam:Plasmodium cynomolgi strain B DNA, chromosome 6.
UAACCUUAACGAUGGAUGUGUCUCUUGGUUUUUAGAGCGAUGAAGGGCGUAACGAAGUGCGAUGCGCAAUGAAAAUUGCGGUGACUGUGAAUCAUAUGAACGGUGAAUGUAAAUUGCACCAAUUCUUCUUUGAAGAAUAAUAGUAUUCCUUCAUAAAAAAUU